CUGAAACCUAAUCAGGUAAAAGAAAAAGUAUCAAGUAAAAGAAAAGGUAUCAAGUAAUUGUGCCAUUGUCAAAUGAUACAAUUCAAAAUUUGCUUGGUUCUUUCUCUUUUUUCCCUUCUUCCUUCUAAUUGCCAAUAAAAACACAGGAAAAAGAACAGAAACCAUCAUUUUUGCUUUGAUGGGGUCAUCACAUCCUCAGGGUUAAAUUGCAAUAAUUGAACAAACAUCCAGCAUGAGCUUCGAAUUAAACAUUAAAACCAACCCAACAAAAAUUAAGAUGUGACCAAACCAGCAUGUAUAUUCAUAUAUUGUGUAUAAACAUCUUUCAUAACAGUGAGAGCUUACGAUUUGAACUUCUUGAAUUUUUCUGCACUAUCUCAUCAUCCUCUCUACUGCCCCUCUACAUAGAACUAUCAGCAUCAUACCGAUUUGAAAAUCUAAUAAUAAGCCAGCCAAAAAAGAAAAAGAAAACAAAGAGAAGAUCAUCAUAUCCUUGAAAGGACUGAAAACCUAAAACACAAAAAGCCUAUGAAAGCCAAACAUAAUGCAUACUGGAUAAACAAGACAACCCAUUUGCCAAACAAUAUGGAUCAUCAACAACAAACAACCUAAAAAGAGUACCCAACAGCCAAAGAAAGAAGGAUAGCAAACAAAAUGUGAUCAAACACAUUCUACAUAUUCAACCUUUUAAGCUCCGAUCAGCGGCCACUAUUUGGGCAUUCCCUGGCAAAAUGACCAGAUCCUCCACAGUUAUAACAGUUCCCUCCCCCUCCACCACUGCCACCACCAUACCUCCCUCCACCGCCUCCACCCUGCGGACAAUCCCUCGCCAUGUGCCCUAUCUCUCCACAAGAAAAGCAGCCGCCACCACCGCCGCCACCAGACCCAUAACCACCACCACCGCCGCCACCAGACCCAUAACCA
rnacentral:misc_RNA from 1 species